GAGGAAUAUUGGUCAAUGGACGGAAGUCUGAACCAGCCAAGUAGCGUGCAGGAUGACGGCCCUAUGGGUUGUAAACUGCUUUUGUAUGGGGAUAAAGUUAGGGACGUGUCCCUAUUUGCAGGUACCAUACGAAUAAGGACCGGCUAAUUCCGUGCCAGCAGCCGCGGUAAUACGGAAGGUCCAGGCGUUAUCCGGAUUUAUUGGGUUUAAAGGGAGCGUAGGCUGGAGAUUAAGUGUGUUGUGAAAUGUAGACGCUCAACGUCUGAAUUGCAGCGCAUACUGGUUUCCUUGAGUACGCACAACGUUGGCGGAAUUCGUCGUGUAGCGGUGAAAUGCUUAGAUAUGACGAAGAACUCCGAUUGCGAAGGCAGCUUACGGGAGCACAACUGACGCUGAAGCUCGAAGGUGCGGGUAUCAAACAGGAUUAGAUACCCUGGUAGUCCGCACAGUAAACGAUGGAUGCCCGUUGUUAGUUCACUUACGAAUUAGCGACCAAGCGAAAGCAUUAAGCAUCCCACCUGGGGAGUACGCCGGCAACGGUG
rnacentral:rRNA from 1 species